rnacentral:lncRNA from 1 species
GGAGCGGGGGCGGGGCGCUCCAGCGGUCUCUUCCCAGCCCUUGGCUACGAUGCUCCAGGCCGUCCCCCAUCCCGUCAGCUCUCCCCAGGGCCUCGGCGAGCCUGGGGCCCGCGUCUGAUCAAUGAAAGCGUCGCAAUAGUAGCAGCCCUGCAGACUCCACAGGACCUGGAUUCUGAACGUGUUCACGUGAUGCUGAUGGAAUUUGAGAACCACUGCCUUUAACAACUCUACCGGCAUGACUUCACCAGGAAAAUCCUCAAGCAUCCCAGGGAACUGCUGUUUGGGAUUCAAGGACAACCAGUAGAAUACCUACUGGCUAACACAGGAGCAUGUGUUGAGCAGGCGCUCAGUAAGUGUUCGUUGAACGAAUUAAUUUGAUACAAACAAUGCUAUGAGAUUGAAAGUUGGGG